rnacentral:rRNA from 1 species
CCUACGGGUGGCAGCAGUGAGGAAUAUUGGUCAAUGGACGCAAGUCUGAACCAGCCAUGCCGCGUGCAGGAUGACGGCCCUCUGGGUUGUAAACUGCUUUUGUUCGGGGAUAAAGUCCGGUAUGCAUACCGUUCUGUACGUAUCAUACGAAUAAGGAUCGGCUAACUCCGUGCCAGCAGCCGCGGUAAUACGGAGGAUUCAAGCGUUAUCCGGAUUUAUUGGGUUUAAAGGGUGCGUAGGCGGACGGUUAAGUUAGUGGUGAAAGCCUGAGGCUCAACUUUGGAAUUGCAGUUGAUACUGUGUGGCUAGAGAGUAGUAGAGGUAGGCGGAAUGCAUGGUGUAGCGGUGAAAUGCUUAGAGAUCACAAAGAACUCCGAUUGCGAAGGCAGCUUACUAAGCU